rnacentral:rRNA from 1 species
AGAGUUUGAUCAUGGCUCAGAUUGAACGCUGGCGGAAUGCUUUACACAUGCAAGUCGAACGGCAGCACGGGAGCUUGCUCCUGGUGGCGAGUGGCGAACGGGUGAGUAACAUAUCGGAACGUACCUAGUAAUGGGGGAUAACUAUCCGAAAGGAUGGCUAAUACCGCAUACGCCCUGAGGGGGAAAGCGGGGGAUCGUAAGACCUCGCGUUAUUAGAGCGGCCGAUAUCUGAUUAGCUAGUUGGUGGGGUAAAAGCCUACCAAGGCGACGAUCAGUAGCUGGUCUGAGAGGACGACCAGCCACACUGGAACUGAGACACGGUCCAGACUCCUACGGGAGGCAGCAGUGGGGAAUUUUGGACAAUGGGCGCAAGCCUGAUCCAGCCAUUCCGCGUGAGUGAAGAAGGCCUUCGGGUUGUAAACCGCUUUUCGAGGGGAAGAGGGAGGACGGUACCCUCGGAAUAAGUCUCGGCUAACUACGUGCCAGCAGCCGCGGUAAAACGUAGGAGGCGAGCGUUAUCCGGAUUUACUGGGUGUAAAGCGCGUGCAGGCGGUCGUGUAAGUGGUGCGUGAAAGCUCCCGGCUCAACCGGGAGAGGACGUGCCAAACUGCAGGGCUAGAGGCAGGUAGAGGCGUGUGGAAUUCCGGGUGUAGUGGUGAAAGGCGUAGAGAUCCGGAGGAACACCAGUGGCGAAGGCGACACGCUGGGCCUGGCCUGACGCUCAGACGCGAAAGCAUGGGGAGCGAACGGGAUUAGAAACCCCGGUAGUCCAUGCUGUAAACGAUGCUGACUAGGUGUUGCGGGUGAGAUACUCCGGCAGUGCCGAAGCUAACGUGGUAAGUCAGCCACCUGGGGACUACGGCCGCAAGGUUAAAACUCAAAGGAAUUGACGGGGGCCCGCACAAGCAGCGGAGCGUGUGGUUUAAUUCGAGGCUACACGAAGAACCUUACCUGGGCUUGACAUCACGGUGGUAGGGAACCGAAAGGGGACCGACCUUCGGGAGCCGUGACAGGUGCUGCAUGGCUGUCGUCAGCUCGUGUCGUGAGAUGUUCGGUUAAGUCCGGUAACGAGCGCAACCCUCGUCGCCAGUUACACGAUGUCUGGCGAGACUGCCCGUAGAAAGCGGGAGGAAGGUGGGGAUGACGUCAAGUCAGCAUGGCCUUGAUGUCCAGGGCGACACACACGCUACAAUGGCCGGUACAAUAGGUAGCCAACCCGCGAGGGGGAGCCAAUCCAGCAAAGCCGGUCUCAGUUCGGAUUGCAGGCUGCAACCCGCCUGCAUGAAGUCGGAGUUGCUAGUAACCGCAGGUCAGCCAUACUGCGGUGAAUACGUUCCCGGGCCUUGUACACACCGCCCGUCACGUCAUGGGAGCUGGUCAUGCCUGAAGUCGGUGGGCCAACCGCAAGGAGGCAGCCGCCGAAGGCAGGGCUGGUGACUGGGACGAAGUCGUAACAAGGUAACCGUA